rnacentral:misc_RNA from 1 species
GAUUAAGAACGUAGCGAAAUGCGAUAAGUAAUGUGAAUUGCAGAAUUCAGUGAAUCAUCGAAUCUUUGAACGCAUCUUGCGCUCCUUGGUAUUCUGAGGAGCAUGCCUGUUUGAGUGUCAUUAAAUUCUCAACUACACUGACUUUGAAUUGGUGUGGCUUGGAUUUGGGGGGAAAAUUGUUGUGGGCUUUUUGUAUAGUCUGCUCCCCUGAAAUUGAUUAGCGGUACCUUUGUGGAACUGUCUACAGGUGUGAUAAUUAUCUACAUCUUAGACAUCUGCUGGAAUGCUGCUUUCUAAACCUUACUUGUAUUGACAAUCUUGACCUCAAAUCAGGUAGGACUACCCGCUGAACUUAAGCAUAUCAAUAAGCGGAGGA